CUUAUACGUCUGUCUGGAUGUGAAAUUUAGGAGCCACAAACUCCGGUGCUGGGUAAGUUAAGGUGCAGCCCUUCAUAAUUUCCAAAUCAAAAUCAAAGUUUUCAUCUUGGUGCUUAUUGUGGCUGGUGAGGGAUGAUAAUGUUAAAUUUCUCCUGAAGCUUUGAACUUCUCUCCUAGUAGAGACAGGUGGCUGCUUGGUGUGUUGCUACCCCAUGGGCCUGGCUGGUGUGCGCUGGUGUGUUAACCUGUUGUACCAGAUCUGGGGAUCAGAUCAUUGAGAAGUAUGCUCCAAAUACGUCCUGUGAUUCAGAUCCUGGAGCAGACGUCUCGGCUGAUUUCUGGGACAAAGCCUGUGCAAGUAGUAGUAUUGUGCAUCAUGUUUUAGAAGGAAACCAGUAUGUUCAGGUAAGAAAAGUGAGGUGCUCUUCCACAGCAUUGGGUGAUCAAGAGAUCAGAGCUGUAGGAUGCACCUCAGAGCAUGUGGCAUGGAGAUAUGGAUAAAAUUGUUAGUGAGACGUAUAUGUGCAGGGACUUUGAGCAUCUGGGCCUAGCUAUAUAGGCCUGAAGAAUGUGUGAAUGAAU
rnacentral:lncRNA from 1 species